rnacentral:rRNA from 1 species
UACGGGGGGAGCAAGCGUUGUUCGGAUUUACUGGGCGUAAAGGGCGCGUAGGCGGUGCGGUAAGUCUGUAGUGAAAUCUCUGGGCUCAACUCAGAGUCUGCUGCAGAAACUGCCGUGCUUGAGUGUGGGAGAGGUGAGUGGAAUUCCCGGUGUAGCGGUGAAAUGCGUAGAUAUCAGGAGGAACACCUGCGGUGUAGACGGCUUUCUGGACCAUUGCUGACGCUGAGACACGAAAGCGUGGGGAGCGAACAGG